AAUAGAUACCCCGGUAGUCCACGCUGUAAACGUUGGGCGCUAGGUGUGGGGGGCCUCUCCGGUUCUCUGUGCCGCAGCUAACGCAUUAAGCGCCCCGCCUGGGGAGUACGGCCGCAAGGCUAAAACUCAAAGGAAUUGACGGGGGCCCGCACAAGCGGCGGAGCAUGCGGAUUAAUUCGAUGCAACGCGAAGAACCUUACCUGGGUUUGACAUGGCCGCAAAACCGGCAGAGAUGUCGGGUCCUUCGGGGCGGUCACAGGUGGUGCAUGGCUGUCGUCAGCUCGUGGCGUGAGAUGUUGGGUUAAGUCCCGCAACGAGCGCAACCCUCGUUCGAUGUUGCCAGCGGUUCGGCCGGGGACUCAUCGAAGACUGCCGGGGUCAACUCGGAGAAGGUGGGGAUGACGUCAAGGUCAUCAUGCCCCUUACGUCCAGGGCUUCACGCAUGCUACAAUGGCCGGUACAAUGGGCUGCGAUACCGUGAGGUGAGCGAAUCCCAAAAGCCGGUCUCAGUUCGGAUCGGGUCUGCAACUGA
rnacentral:rRNA from 1 species